rnacentral:rRNA from 1 species
UUCGCCACGCCCGCUCAAGAAACUUAAAGGAAUUGACGGGACCCCGCACAAGCGGUGGAUCAUGUUGUUUAAUUCGAUGAUACGCGAAGAACCUUACCAGGUCUUGACAUCCCCCGCGAUGCUUUAGAGAUAAAGCGGAGGUAUUCGGGGAGACAGGUGGUGCAUGGUUGUCGUCAGCUCGUGUCGUGAGAUGUUGGGUUAAGUCCCGCAACGAGCGCAACCCCUAUUGCUAGUUACCAUCAUUAAGUUGGGGACUCUAGCGAGACUGCCAGUGAUAAACUGGAGGAAGGUGGGGAUGACGUCAAAUCAUCAUGCCCCUUAUGACCUGGGCUACAAACGUGAUACAAUGGCUGGAACAAAGGGAUGCGAAGCAGUGAUGUGGAGCGAAACCCAUAAAAACAGUCUCAGUUCGGAUUGAAGUCUGCAACUCGACUUCAUGAAGUCGGAAUCGCUAGUAAUCGCGGAUCAGAACGCCGCGGUGAAUACGUUCUCGGGGUUU